rnacentral:rRNA from 1 species
CACGUAGGGGCGAGCGUUGUCCGGAUUUAUUGGGCGUAAGAGCUCGUAGGUGGCUCGGUAAGUCGGUGUGAAAUUCGAGGCUCAACCUCGAGACGCCACUGAUACUGCUGUGGCUAGAGUCCGGUAGGGGAGCGUGGAAUUCCUGGUGUAGCGGUGAAAUGCGCAGAUAUCAGGAGGAACACCGGUGGCGAAGGCGGGUCUCUGGGCCGAUACUGACGCUGAGGAGCGAAAGCGUGGGGAGCAAACAGG